rnacentral:rRNA from 1 species
CAUGUAGGCGGAAUUGCAAGCUUGAUGUGAAAGGCAGGGGCUUAACUCCUGGAUUGCGUUGAGAACUGCAUAACUAGAGUAACUGAGGGGCAGCCGGAAUUCCAGGUGUAGGGGUGAAAUCUGUAGAUAUCUGGAAGAACACCAAUGGCGAAGGCAGGCUACCAGCAGAUUACUGACGCUGAGGUGCGAAGGUAUGGGGAGCAAACA